rnacentral:rRNA from 1 species
CACGUAGGGCGCAAGCGUUGUCCGGAAUCAUUGGGCGUAAAGCGCGCGUAGGUGGCUUCGUAAGUCCGUUGUGAAAGUCAAAGGCUCAACCUUUGAAAGCCGAUGGAUACUGCGGAGCUAGAGUACGGAAGAGGCGAGUGGAAUUCCUGGUGUAGCGGUGGAAUGCGCAGAUAUCAGGAGGAACACCAAUAGCGAAGGCAGCUCGCUGGGACGUUACUGACACUGAGGCGCGAAGCGUGGGGAGCGAACAGGA